CCCUUAGAUGUUCUGGGCCGCACGCGCGCUACACUGAUGCAUUCAACGAGUUUCUUCCUGGUCCGAGAGGAAUGGGUAACCUUUUGAAAGUGCAUCGUGAUAGGGAUAGACUAUUGCAAUUAUUGGUCUUCAACGAGGAAUUCCUAGUAGACGUAGUUCAUCAGACUGCAUCGAUUACGUCCCUGCCCUUUGUACACACCGCCCGUCGCUCCUACCGAUUGAAUGCUCAGGUGAGCCAUUCGGACUUUCAUCAUGCUGGUUUCCAGUUUUGAUGAAGGAAAGUCUUGCGAACAUUAUCAUUUAGAGGAAGGAGAAGUCGUAACA
rnacentral:rRNA from 1 species